GUCGUAACAAGGUUUCCGUAGGUGAACCUGCGGAAGGAUCAUUACCACACCAAAAAAACUAUCCACGUGAAUGUAUACUUUGUAUGAGGUUUGUGCCUUGGUCUCUAUCUCUUUUGUGUUUUUUCAUGAAAGAGUUGAGAUCUUGUGCUAGCUGAAGGGGUUCUCUCUUUUCGAGAGAAUAUCCCGAUGUAUCUUUCUAUCCAUAAAACCAAUUUACUGAAAUAUAACUUGCAAAACAGAAAUGUUUGCAUUAAACGAGAUACAACUUUCAACAGUGGAUGUCUCGGCUCCU
rnacentral:misc_RNA from 1 species